rnacentral:rRNA from 1 species
UACGUAGGGUGCGAGCGUUGUCCGGAAUUACUGGGCGUAAAGAGCUCGUAGGCGGCUUGUCGCGUUGUUCGUGAAAAUUUACCGCUCAACGGUGAACUUGCGGGCGAUACGGGCAGGCUAGAGUACUGCAGGGGAGACUGGAAUUCCUGGUGUAGCGGUGAAAUGCGCAGAUAUCGGGAGGAACACCAGUGGCGAAGGCGGCUUCCUGGCCUGUUCUUGACGCUGAGGCGCGAAAGCUAGGGGAGCAAACGGG